GCCUCCGUAGCUCAGUGGAUAGAGCAACCGCCUUCUAAGCGGCAGGUCGCGAGUUCGAUCCUCGCCGGGGGCG
rnacentral:tRNA from 1 species